UGGGGAAUUUUGGACAAUGGGCGAAAGCCUGAUCCAGCAAUGCCGCGUGUGUGAAGAAGGCCUUCGGGUUGUAAAGCACUUUUGUCCGGAAAGAAAUCCUUGGCUCUAAUACAGUCGGGGGAUGACGGUACCGGAAGAAUAAGCACCGGCUAACUACGUGCCAGCAGCCGCGGUAAUACGUAGGGUGCAAGCGUUAAUCGGAAUUACUGGGCGUAAAGCGUGCGCAGGCGGUUUGCUAAGACCGAUGUGAAAUCCCCGGGCUCAACCUGGGAACUGCAUUGGUGACUGGCAGGCUAGAGUAUGGCAGAGGGGGGUAGAAUUCCACGUGUAGCAGUGAAAUGCGUAGAGAUGUGGAGGAAUACCGAUGGCGAAGGCAGCCCCCUGGGCCAAUACUGACGCUCAUGCACGAAAGCGUGGGGAGCAAACAGGAUUAGAUACCCUGGUAGUCCACGCCCUAAACGAUGUCAACUAGUUGUUGGGGAUUCAUUUCCUUAGUAACGUAGCUAACGCGUGAAGUUGACCGCCUGGGGGAGUACGGUCGCAAGAUUAAAACUUAAAGGAAUUGACGGGGUCAUAGCUGUUUCC
rnacentral:rRNA from 1 species